UACGAAGGGGGCUAGCGUUGUUCGGAAUUACUGGGCGUAAAGCGCACGUAGGCGGAUUUUUAAGUCAGGGGUGAAAUCCCGAGGCUCAACCUCGGAACUGCCUUUGAUACUGGGAGAUUCUAGUUCGGAAGAGGUUGGUGGAACAGCUAGUGUAGAGGUGAAAUUCGUAGAUAUUAGCUAGAACACCAGUGGCGAAGGCGGCCAACUGGUCCGAUACUGACGCUGAGGUGCGAAAGCGUGGGGAGCAAACAGGG
rnacentral:rRNA from 1 species